rnacentral:tRNA from 1 species
GCUUGUGUGGCGGAACAGGUAGACGCACAGGACUUAAAAUCCUGCGAGAUUCAACCCUCGUGCCGGUUCAAUUCCGGCCACAAGCACCA